CUGCUCAUUUAGGCAGCACAUAUACUAAAAUUGGAAUUAUACAAAGAAGACUAACAAAACCUCUAUGCAGGGAUGAUGGGUAAAUUCAUGAGGUACUGAAUAUUUAA